rnacentral:rRNA from 1 species
UUAAGCAUAUUAAUAAGCGGAAGAAACGAAACUAACAAGGAUACUGUUGGUAAUGGCGAAUGAACACUGUUUUACCACUAUCGAACCUCACAUCAAUUCGAUGUGUGGAGUGUGAUAUUGGUGUGUCACAAAGGGAUUUAUUCAAUAAAUGAAAGUUUGAUUGAUUGCAACUUGUCAUAGAGGGUGAAAGUCCCGUAUCAUUUAUUGAUUGAAAAUCACUUGUGUCACGUAUGAGUAAAGUUGUUUCGAAUUGCAGCUCGAAUGUACGUGGUGAACUCCAUGUAAGGUUGAAUAUUGUCGCGAGACCGAUAGAAGACAAGUACCGUGAGGGAAAGUUGAAAAGUACUCUGAAAAGAGAGUGAACAAGCCUGUGCAACUGUACAUUGCAAAGCGAAUGAUAGAAAGUGUGGGCUCAUUUUACAAUUACUCAUUUGUCACUAUAUGAUUCUUUCAUGAAUGGCGUUGGGUAGAUUGUUAUACUCUUGGGUCAUGUUGAUGCAGCACUUGUCAAUUGUGAUUGUUAAUGUGAGAAUAAGUAUUUUUACAAUAUUUGUCGUUCAUUAUGUUUGCGCAAUUUGCGCAAAAACAAAACUGGCUAGUGUUUAUCGGCUACUUGAUAUAUUGUUGAAUUCUGACGCAGGACUUUUCUGUGAACAGAAUGAUUAAGUUUGGUUGGUGCAUGAACUAUACAAUCUGUCAUCUGAACCGUCUUGAAACACGGACUAAGGAGUUCAACUUGAGCGCAAGUCGACUACGUGAAUAAAGUUUGGGGCAAAGUGAAAGCAAUUUUAUUGAUGUUAACGAAUGUAAAUUUUUACAAACGAUUAGCACAUGAUCUGAGUGGCAAUUUUUUUAUUGUCUACUGCAACAGAGCGCUUUGGUUGUGACCCGAAAGAUGU